rnacentral:misc_RNA from 1 species
UUAACUAUUAUAUAGUACUCAGACGACACUAAUAUUCAGAGUUUGGGGGUCCUCUGGCGGGCGCUUACCAGCCGGAGCCGGUAGCCUGACCGAGGCCUGACGGCCCGCCAAAGCAACAAAGGUAAUGAUAACAUAGGGUGGGAGAUCUACCCAUAAGGGCAUGAACUCUGUAAUGAUCCCUCCGCAGGUUCACCUACGGAAA